rnacentral:rRNA from 1 species
GAUCAUGGCUCAGGAUGAACGCUAGCUUCAGGCUUAACACAUGCAAGUCGAGGGGCAGCAUGGUCUUAGCUUGCUAAGGCUGAUGGCGACCGGCGCACGGGUGAGUAACACGUAUCCAACCUGCCGUCUACUCUUGGCCAGCCUUCUGAAAGGAAGAUUAAUCCAGGAUGGGAUCAUGAGUUCACAUGUCCGCAUGAUUAAAGGUAUUUUCCGGUAGACGACGGGGA